CUGUAAUUUUAUCAAAAUUCGAGUUGCCAAGGAAACAUUGAAUAAACGGUACAAGAUCGGGGACAAACAUUCGAUAGUAAUUCGAAAUUUGUACGCUGUUUAAAAUAAAGAUGAGCAAAGAAUCGAAAAGAGAAAACAAAGCACUUUAUGAAUAUCUUCAAGGUACACUUGAAGAUGACAAGUUACAUUGGAUCAGAAACUCAGCUAAAAUCAGGGCGUCUUACACAUCAAAAAAUUACGACGAAUUUAGAGAAAUUGUUGCUGCAGCACACCUAAAACCUUUAUCAAAACAAGAUAUGAGACGAAAACAACCUGAGUGGAGAUGUACAGAUUUGGAUUAAAAAUAUAUUGAUAUAACAUUGCACAAUAGGCACACUUUAUGACACUGCUCCUGCUUUCACUUUAGUUAAAAUAGAAAAUAUACACUAAUAUAAGAAAACAUUUGGGUGUAUUUCUGAGUUUAUGGUUAUUGUAUUAGGUUAACAUAAGUAAAUACGAUUUGAUAUUGAA